CAGGCGAUCAAUUGCUUUUGUAAAGAAGAAAAAAUAGUAUGGACGCUGCGAUUAAUGGGCCGCUGCGCCGCGAAACCCUAACCCUAGCCUCUUCUGUCAAGCCUCGUUUCCGAAACUCUGAGAAAUAUGCUAACCCUAACCCUCGUUUCAGCGACUCUCGCCGCCGAAAGCCCAGGCCUGUAGGCCUCCAAUCGAAUCCAAACUUGAAUAACCGAGAUCGGUCCCACUCAGGCUCCAUGGUAGCGAGGUUUCCGGCCAGAAAUCUUGUCAUGGGUGAGGUCAAGAUCUUGAAGCGCGGGGAAUCAUUAGCAAAGAGUGAUAAUCGAGUACCGAAGGAGAAUAGGAAGCCGAGGGUGAAGAAAGAAAAUAAUGCAGAUCUUGUUUUAGGAUGCACGGACCGGCUGGGACCCGACCCUGAAACGGUUCAGAAGCAGGUUAGAGUUGAUGAGUUCAAUAAACUUGUGGAGGGGAUGUAUGUUGGAUCGGCAUCUGUGGCGUCGCCGCCACCGAGUUCGCUUCCGGUCCCGGGUUUUUUGGGGAAGAGCAGUAACGGAGCGGCGACGACUGAUCUGCGGCGAUUACUAAGACUGGAUAUGGUUUAAUUUUGUGUGAUUAGAGCAUAUGGACUCUUCGUUAUCUUCCUGAUUGUUGAUUGGAAGCUCAAUUUCUUUCCUUUAUUUUUUCAAGAGGAAGGUUAUAGAGUGCAAGCAGGUGGAAGAACUCACAAAUUAUCAAAACCUUGUGUGCUUUGUGUGGAACAGUGAGGAUUAGGUGGUAUAAUUUGUUGCUUUAACGCAAAUUUUAGGGCAAUUGGGGUUCCGUUGUAUACUUUUUCAGUCCCUUCAGCUUCUGUGUUUUGUGUUGCUUAAUUCACAGACUCUUCAUUACUAUGUACUCUUUGGUAUCUGUUGCAAUAAAAUUUGUACAAAUUUUAAUUUUGUUUGUGCUUCUUAUUUUUUGAAUUUUCUCUGUUUUGUGCUUACUAGUAUUCAAUGGGGAGAAACAGGGCAGAGGCCAGAAGCCCUAUUCUUGUUCUUGAUUUGAGUACACAGAAGGAAAGAGAGAGCCCGUAAAUGCAUCAUCUAUCUGGAAACAUCAAUUGUGAGUUGUGAUAUGAAAAGCAGAUGUGUGAAUAUUGACUUUGCUUGUUGUAAUCAACUUCCGCUGGGUCCCCAGGCGUGAUCCAGAAGCAAUGCUUUCUCCAGAGAAAUAUCAUUUCUUCAAUGGGAAAUCCUUUGGCUUCUGGCAGGAAGAUGUAAACAAAGAUUUUCGUGACAGUGAUACACCCAACAAAGAAAGGAAGAUUCCUAACUUGAAUGAACCGAGGAGGGACAGGAAAGGCUGGUAUGUUGUAAUUGAAGAAAAGACAUACAGCUACUAAAAUGCUCUGCCCAGCUGAUCGUGUU
rnacentral:misc_RNA from 1 species